AGAAUCAACGCUGGCGGCGUGCCUAACACAUGCAAGUCGAACGCGGUUAGCCCGCAAGGGUUAACUGAGUGGCGAACGGGUGAGUAACACGUGGGUGAUCUACCUUCGAGUGGGGGAUAACGUUCCGAAAGGAACGCUAAUACCGCAUGACGUUCUGGGUUUGAAGACCUGGAAACCAAAGUCGGGACCGCAAGGCCUGACGCUUGGAGAGGAGCCCGCGCCUGAUUAGCUAGUUGGUGAGGUAAUGGCUCACCAAGGCGACGAUCAGUA
rnacentral:rRNA from 1 species